rnacentral:rRNA from 1 species
AGGAGAGUUUGAUCCUGGCUCAGGAUGAACGCUAGCGGCAGGCCUAAUACAUGCAAGUCGUACGGGAACCCCUCCCUCGGGAGGGGUGAGAGUGGCGGACGGGUGCGUUACGCGUAUGCAACCAACCCCCGACGGGCGUACAGCCGGUGGAAACGCCGGGUGAUGCGCCAUGCGGCCGGGAGAGGGCAUCCUCUUUCGGCGAAAGCCCUUGGGCGGUCGGGGACGGGCAUGCGUGCCAUUAGCUAGUUGGUGGGGCGACGGCCCACCAAGGCUACGAUGGCUAGGGGAUCUGAGAGGACGGUCCCCCACACUGGUACUGAGACACGGACCAGACUCCUGCGGGAGGCAGCAGUAAGGGAUAUUGGGCAAUGGGGGGAACCCUGACCCAGCCAUGCCGCGUGAGGGAAUGAGGCCCUACGGGUCGUGAACCUCUUUUAUCCGGGGACAAUACCCCGCACGGGAUGCGGGGUUGAGGGUACCGGAAGAAUAAGCAUCGGCUAACUCCGUGCCAGCAGCCGCGGUAAUACGGAGGAUGCGAGCGUUAUCCGGAUUUAUUGGGUUUAAAGGGUGCGUAGGCUGUUCGGAAAGUCAGGGGUGAAAGCCCGGCGCUUAACGCCGGAACUGCCUUUGAUACUUCCGAGCUGGAAUACGGAUGCCGUGGGAGGAAUGAGUAGUGUAGCGGUGAAAUGCAUAGAUAUUACUCAGAACACCGAUUGCGAAGGCAUCUCACGAAUCCGUCAUUGACGCUGAGGCACGAAAGCGUGGGGAUCAAACAGGAUUAGAUACCCUGGUAGUCCCCU